rnacentral:rRNA from 1 species
GACGAACGCUGGCGGCGUGCCUAAUACAUGCAAGUAGAACGCUGAAGGAGGAGCUUGCUUCUCUGGAUGAGUUGCGAACGGGUGAGUAACGCGUAGGUAACCUGCCUGGUAGCGGGGGAUAACUAUUGGAAACGAUAGCUAAUACCGCAUAAUAUUGACUGUUGCAUGAUAGUCAGUUGAAAGGUGCAACUGCACCACUACCAGAUGGACCUGCGUUGUAUUAGCUAGUUGGUGGGGUAACGGCUCACCAAGGCGACGAGACAUAGCCGACCUGAGAGGGGGAUCGGCCACGCUGGGAUUGAGACACGGCCCAGACGACUACGGGAGGCAGCAGUAGGGAACCCUCGGCAAUGGAAGGAAGUCUGACCGAGCAACGCCGCGUGAGUGAAGAAGGGUGUCGGAUCGUAAAGCUCUGUUGUAAGAGAAGAACGAGUGUGAGAGUGGAAAGCUCACACUGUGACGGUAACUUACCAGAAAGGGACGGCUAACUACGUG